AUUGAACGCUGGCGGCAGGCUUAACACAUGCAAGUCGAGCGGGGGAAGGUAGCUUGCUACCGGACCUAGCGGCGGACGGGUGAGUAAUGCUUAGGAAUCUGCCUAUUAGUGGGGGACAACAUCUCGAAAGGGAUGCUAAUACCGCAUACGUCCUACGGGAGAAAGCAGGGGAUCUUCGGACCCUGCGCUAAUAGAUGAGCCUAAGUCGGAUUAGCUAGUUGGUGGGGUAAAGGCCUACCAAGGCGACGAUCUGUAGCGGGUCUGAGAGGAUGAUCCGCCACACUGGGACUGAGACACGGCCCAGACUCCUACGGGAGGCAGCAGUGGGGAAUAUUGGACAAUGGGGGGAACCCUGGUCCAGCCAUGCCGCGUGUGUGAAGAAGGCCUUAUGGUUGUAAAGCACUUUAAGCGAGGAGGAGGCUACUCUAGUUAAUACCUAGGGAUAGUGGACGUUACUCGCAGAAUAAGCACCGGCUAACUCUGUGCCAGCCGCCGCGGUAA
rnacentral:rRNA from 1 species